UACGUAGGCAGCAAGCGUUGUUCGGAGUUACUGGGCGUAAAGGGCGCGUAGGUGGUUAGGUAAGUUAGAUGUGAAAGCCCCGGGCUUAACCUGGGAACUGCAUCUAAUACUGCCAGACUAGAGUACAGUAGAGGGUAGUGGAAUUUCCGGUGUAGCGGUGAAAUGCGUAGAUAUCGGAAGGAACACCAGUGGCGAAGGCGGCUACCUGGACUGAUACUGACACUGAGGCGCGAGAGCGUGGGUAGCAAACAGG
rnacentral:rRNA from 1 species